GGGGAAUAUUGGACAAUGGGGGAAACCCUGAUCCAGCGAUGCCGCGUGAGUGAAGAAGGCCUUCGGGUUGUAAAGCUCUUUUAACCGGGAAGAUAAUGACGGUACCGGUGGAAUAAGCUCCGGCUAACUUCGUGCCAGCAGCCGCGGUAAUACGAAGGGAGCUAGCGUUGUUCGGAAUGACUGGGCGUAAAGGGCGUGUAGGUGGUACUAUAAGCAAGAUGUGAAAUCCCUGGGCUUAACCUAGGAAUGGCAUUUUGGACUGUAGGACUCAGUGUGCGAGAGGGGAAAGUGGAAUGGCGAGUGGAGCAGUGAAAUGCGUUGAUAUUCGUUGGAACACCAGAGGCGAAGGCGACUUUCUGGCUCGUUACAGACACUAAGGCGCGAAAGCGUGGGGAGCAAAC
rnacentral:rRNA from 1 species